AACUUUCGACAACGGAUCACUAGGCUCCCGCAACGAUGAAGAACGCAGCCAGAUGCGAAAAGUAGUGCGAAGCGCAUAAAUCUGCGAGUCAUUGAGAAUUUGAACGCAACAGGCGCCGCCGCGACGAGCGGCGGCAUGUGUGUCCGAGGGCCAGAUAUGAUGUUGCACAUGGGAGUGUGCAGAGGUGGCUGCUGUGCCAUCGUCAGAUGGCACUCGGCUGAAAGAGAUGCAUCCCUGCACGGGGGUCGACGAGCCAGGGACGACAGUCCAUGUCGUUGGUGCUCUGUGCGCAUGGGGGUGGAAAUGGUGCCAAAAUCACCAAAAUCAAAAACACGGCCUCGGAUCAGACAGGAUUACCCGCUGAACUUAAGCAUAUCAAUAAGCGGAGGCU
rnacentral:misc_RNA from 1 species